AAAAUUGUAUUUAACCAACUCCAAACAGACAAAAUUGCUUACCCAGUACAUAUUAAAUCUCGGCAAGUAUGAUCAAAACUACGACAUCAGAGACCGUACAAGAUUUAUUAGGCAGCUUAUUGUUCCGAAUGUAAAGAGUGGAGCUUUAAGUAAAUAUGCCAAAAAAAUAUUCCUAGCACAAAAGCCUGCACCACUGCUUGAGUCUCCUUUUAAAGAUAGAGAUCAUUUCCAGCUUGGCACCUUAUCUCAUACUCUCAACAUUAAAGCUACUGGGUACCUGGAAUUAUCUAAUUGGCCAGAGGUGGCGCCCGACCCAUCAGUUCGAAAUGUAGAAGUAAUAGAGUUGGCUUUGGUAUCAGGAUGAUGCUGGCCUCCUAAAAUGAGUUAGGGAGGCUUCCCUCUUUUUCUAUUGAUUGGAAUAGUUUCAGAAGGAAUGGUACCAGCUCCUCCUUGUACCUCUGGUAGAAUUCGGCUGUGAAUCCAUCUGGUCCUGGACUU
rnacentral:lncRNA from 10 species